GGAAUAUUGGACAAUGGGCGCAAGCCUGAUCCAGCCAUGCCGCGUGAGUGAUGAAGGCCCUAGGGUUGUAAAGCUCUUUCACCGGUGAAGAUAAUGACGGUAACCGGAGAAGAAGCCCCGGCUAACUUCGUGCCAGCAGCCGCGGUAAUACGAAGGGGGCUAGCGUUGUUCGGAUUUACUGGGCGUAAAGCGCACGUAGGCGGAUCAUUAAGUCGGGGGUGAAAUCCUGGAGCUCAACUCCAGAACUGCCUUCGAUACUGAGAGCCUUGAGUCCGGGAGAGGUGAGUGGAACUGCGAGUGUAGAGGUGAAAUUCGUAGAUAUUCGCAAGAACACCAGUGGCGAAGGCGGCUCACUGGCCCGGUACUGACGCUGAGGUGCGAAAGCGUGGGGAGCAA
rnacentral:rRNA from 1 species